UCUCUCUCUCUCUCUCUCUCAGGAAUGGGGUCGUUUGUUUUCUUCUUGUAGCACCACAAACAUUAACAAAGGAGGGAGCUUCCUUAAAGCUGAAGCUUGUUAGAUUGAAAUGGGUUUGAACAGACCUCAAAAACUCGGCAAUGCUAUCUCGACCAGAUGGAUUUCUAUCUUCUCCAAAAAAAAUGAAAAGAAAAACAAAUUAAUGUGUAUAUUAUCAGAGGAGACAUUAUUAUUAUUUUACAUCAAUUAAUAAAUCUUGAGUCUAAUUUUAAUAAAAAAGAAAGAUCAAUUUAUUAAAUAAAAUUUAAAUUUAUGAACCAAAAUUUUGUUAAAAACAAAUUAGAAAUUAACAUGUACAUUUUUCUAUAUUUUAAAAACUUAAUUGUAAUUUCCUUUUUCUUUAUGAAAUUAUUAUUUAGUUACUGUAUUUUAAUAAAACUAAUUAUUUAGUCUUUUUAUUUUAAAAUAUACACCAUUUAAUUUUUAUAUUUUUCUUUCCUUAAACUCUUUCAUAUCUCCAUCAAAUUUUUUUGUUGGUCAACUAAUUUUAAUGCUAGUCAAAUAAUUAUUUAGUUCUUCUAUUUUAGUCAAACUAAUUAAUUGGCCUACCUAUUUUGAA
rnacentral:misc_RNA from 1 species